AGGCCUCAAAAAUGAAGUUUAAGGCUGAUCCCGGCCCGGGCGGCGCCCGGAACCCAAGAACGCGGCUCAGCUGCGGCGGCCGGAAGCGGGGGGGGAAGAGCCCGGCGGGACCCGGAGCGGGUUCGGUGCGGGGCUGACCCGCCAUGGCCCACAGCCGCUCUCGGAAGCGAUCGCGAAGCAGAAGCAAAAGUGAUUCUCGGAGCAGACAGGAGAGGAAGGAGAAGAAAAGGAGGAAAGGCAGCAAGGACUCGCGCCGGGGCAGCAGCUCUCCUCCGAGGAAGCGGAUCUCGGGGUCCCACAGACACAAGUCAGCAGAAAAGAAGAAGGAAGUAAAGGACAAAAAGAAGAGGAAGGCAAGCACCUCUUCCUCUGAGACAACAUCUUCAUCCACCAGCUCCUCGUCGUCUUCCUCCUCCUCCAGCUCCUCUUCUGAUGACUCCAGUGACAGUGACUCCAAAAUGAAGAAGAGUCAACAUGGCAAAAAAAAGCGACCGAAACAGAAAGAUAGAAAGAAGAAGAAAAAGAAGAGAAUAAAGAAGAAAACAAAGAAGAAGUCAAAGGAAGGGGCUAAGGAGGAGAAAGCCAAGGGAGAAGCGGUGCUGGGCCCAUCGCUGGAGCAGUGGCAGAAGGAGACCCUGGUGGACUCUGGACCAGUUUUGACAGACGAACAGAAGUCCCGAAUUCAGGCUAUGAAGCCAAUGACGAAGGAAGAAUGGGAUGCGAGGCAGAGCGUGAUAAGGAGAGUUGUGGAUCCUGAAACCGGGAGAACGAGGCUCAUUAAGGGAGAUGGAGAAGUACUAGAAGAGAUCGUCAGCAAGGAGAGACACAAGGAGAUUAACAAGCAAGCCACCCGGGGGGACGGGCUGGCCUUCCAGGCGAGGACGGGGAUGCUGCAGUGAGCGUGGAGCCCGUCCUGCUGCUGCUGCCAGCCCAGCCUGAGCCCCUGUCCCUGCCCCACGCAGACAGCACCGUGUCCGGACGCUUCCCUGGGGCAAGUCUCCCCCCCAAAAAAAAGAGAAAAAAAGGCAGACAGAGAAGAGCCUUCCCAUUUCUUUAAUCUGUGUAACUCACAAUGAUACUGUACACAAAGCACACCCAGGCAUUGGAACGAUGCACGAACAGCAAGGAGAAGGAAGUCGUACAGAAGGUUUGUCACACACAAGCGCGUCAUCGGCACGGUGCUGCACACACAGCCCUCCGGGGCUUCCCCGCGCACCACUGUUACCCCUAAAAGCCGUUUUUUAUAAAUAAAAUAUAACUAACAUCGUUGGAAUAUAAAAUUGACAGUCGAGGGUAUCAACAGGCAGAGGGGACAGGGAGGGACCGUAAGGCUUCUAGAACUAAUAGGAAAUGCAGCAGACGGUGGCGAUACCUGAAGAAGGGGCUGCUACAGCGAGCGCGGCGGCUGCUGGCGGAGCGGGGCUCGGACAGUCACCCUUUGGCUAGUUACUGCUCUCGGCUCGCGGAUCGGACACUGUAAACGCUUUUUGGUAUUAGAAUUUCGCCUCAGCUGACUGAGUGAUCCGGCAAACCCAGGAAAACAACUGGGAGGGAACGCGUGGGCGCCUCGUUGUAUAUUUGUUAAAAGACUUUAAAGGGACAGCGUCAGGUAGAAAGUCUGGCCCAACAGCGCGGUAAUACAAAAAGCUGCUUUUUAUAAAAAAAUCUGAGCUCCAUGAUGGAGUUCGAUUCCCAUGGAAACACUUAACAAAAAAAGAAAGGCCGAGGCAGCCUGUGCAGGCGAGAGGGUGCAAGAAAAACUUCGUAUUCUUUUGUUUCGAAGCAAAGAAAUGAUUUGUAACAAAGAUAAAUUAGGUGUCUAACCUGACAGUGCCCCUUUAGUAAGGAUGGGAUAUACAUUCAUCUUUCCCUCAGUGCAUCCAAACGGAUCCUCUUCCACUCGCAUGGAAAGGCAUCGGGUCACGUGCAUCGCUCUCCAAAACAGCUCGGAACAAACAGGUUAUAAACACAGAGAUAAACUAUUGCUAUUGUUCUGUGAGUGAGUAGCACGUUGAUCUUUGCUUCAGAUAGACGAGUGCCAGAUGGGGGCGGCUGAGGAUAGAUUGAUGUAGACUAUGAUGGACUGAAUCGGUGGAGAGGAAAAAAACCCAACAACUUAUUGGCAUAUUUCGUGGUAACUACACCCGCCUCAUCUGGAAUUAUUGCAGCAAUAAAGGUCCUGCUCUACAAUUGUUUCUCCGUGUUGGAUCCAUACAAUGGCAACAGAUGGGGGGGCCAGGAAUGGCCCUGAGCGGGAUCUGAGAAGCUCAACAAGGGAUGAGGACAGAGGUGUGUGAUUGUCGGUCUGACUGGUUAGUAGGUGGUUAAAACAUGGAGUGAUGGAGAGGUGAGUAUAAUAUUGCACUUCUGCAUUCAUCGACAGUUACAUUAAACUUGGUCCAUAAAAUAAUUGCUUUGUACAUAAUGCCUGAAACAAAAAGCUACAUUUUUAAAUAUUAAUAAACCCUGAAGGUUCCAGUCCCUCCAGACUUUUUUUUUUUCCC